rnacentral:tRNA from 1 species
GGCUUUGUAGUCAAAUUUAUGAUUUUAAAUUGCAAGUUUAAAGUUAAGGUAAUCCUUUAAAGCUU